rnacentral:rRNA from 1 species
UACGUAGGGUGCGAGCGUUGUCCGGAAUUACUGGGCGUAAAGCGUGCGCAGGCGGUUUUUUAAGACAGGCGUGAAAUCCCCGGGCUUAACCUGGGAACUGCGUUUGUGACUGGAAGGCUAGAGUAUGGCAGAGGGGGGUAGAAUUCCACGUGUAGCAGUGAAAUGCGUAGAUAUGCGGAGGAACACCGAUGGCGAAGGCAAUCCCCUGGGCCUGCACUGACGCUCAUGCACGAAAGCGUGGGGAGCAAACAGG